rnacentral:lncRNA from 1 species
UUUGACGCGUAACAGAAGCACGUUCGGCCUUUUUCUUCGCUUGACUCGUUGACACACGAGGAAACCUACUGAAGGAAUUUUUGGGAAACGGUUACAUGAUGGAUUAAUAUAAAUAGAUCUUAAGUGGUGCCUUGACGCUCUCUCUCUUUUCCAGAUUUCCACGCCGUGCAUUAUUUUUACAGCAUUAUAUUUUUUUCUCAGCAUUCCAUAUUUUCU